rnacentral:rRNA from 1 species
ACCACAAGAACGCGUGGAGCAUGUGGCUUAAUUUGACUCAACGCGGGAAAUCUUACCAGGUCCGGACACACUGAGGAUUGACAGGAAGUAUCGUCUUUUGAAUUCUUUAAGGAUAUGUCGUUUUUAAUGACAUCUUUUAGAUGGAUGAUUCGUGUAAAUAUGCUAGUUCUUUCAUGAUUAUGUGAUAGGUGGUGCAUGGCCGUUCUUAGUUCGUGGAGUGAUCUGUCUGCUUAAUUGCGUUUCACUAAGGCCCCAAAGUUAGCAAAUUAUCAAUCGUUACAGAGUCGACCCCUCACCUUUGAGUGCGCGUCCUAACUUGUAGUACAUGGUGUAAAUGGAUUUGUUUUGGGUACCCAGAAAGCAACGAACGUGACCGCAACGUCUUGUUGUCUCUCUUUGACAGUUAUGGGUUAUCCCAGUCAUGUGUUUAUACUUUUAUGUGUAAAUACGUACGACACAGAGACUAGAUACCAAACUAGGCGUACCGCUGUAUCAUU